AGUUUUGCCCAGUGGCUGUAUCAUGGCCAAUGAAGUUUAUCCAAGGCAUGAUUAUUGCUAAUUGAAAACUUAUCCCUAUA
rnacentral:snRNA from 1 species